AGUGAACGCUGGCGGUAGGCCUAACACAUGCAAGUCGAACGGCAGCACAGUAAGAGCUUGCUCUUACGGGUGGCGAGUGGCGGACGGGUGAGGAAUACAUCGGAAUCUACUUUUUCGUGGGGGAUAACGUAGGGAAACUUACGCUAAUACCGCAUACGACCUACGGGUGAAAGCAGGGGAUCUUCGGACCUUGCGCGAUUGAAUGAGCCGAUGUCGGAUUAGCUAGUUGGCGGGGUAAAGGCCCACCAAGGCGACGAUCCGUAGCUGGUCUGAGAGGAUGAUCAGCCACACUGGAACUGAGACACGGUCCAGACUCCUACGGGAGGCAGCAGUGGGGAAUAUCGGACAAUGGGCGCAAGCCUGAUCCAGCCAUACCGCGUGGGUGAAGAAGGCCUUCGGGUUGUAAAGCCCUUUUGUUGGGAAAGAAAAGCAGCAGGUUAAUACCCCGCUGUUCUUACGGUACCCAAAGAAUAAGCACCGGCUAACUUCGUG
rnacentral:rRNA from 1 species